UACGGGGGGAGCAAGCGUUGUUCGGAUUUAUUGGGCGUAAAGGGCGCGUAGGCGGUCACGCACGUCCGUUGUGAAAUCGCUCGGCUCAACUGGGCGGGGUCAGCGGAUACGGCGUGGCUGGAGCAAGCUAGGGGGCAAUGGAAUUCCCGGUGUAGUGGUGGAAUGCGUAGAUAUCGGGAGGAACACCAGUGGCGAAGGCGGUUGCCUGGAGCUUUGCUGACGCUGAUGCGCGAAAGCGUGGGGAGCGAUCCGG
rnacentral:rRNA from 1 species